UGGGGAAUUUUGGACAAUGGGGGAAACCCUGAUCCAGCCAUCCCGCGUGUGCGAUGAAGGCCUUCGGGUUGUAAAGCACUUUUGGCAGGAAAGAAACGUCGCGGGUUAAUACCCCGCGAAACUGACGGUACCUGCAGAAUAAGCACCGGCUAACUACGUGCCAGCAGCCGCGGUAAUACGUAGGGUGCAAGCGUUAAUCGGAAUUACUGGGCGUAAAGCGUGCGCAGGCGGUUCGGAAAGAAAGAUGUGAAAUCCCAGAGCUUAACUUUGGAACUGCAUUUUUAACUACCGGGCUAGAGUGUGUCAGAGGGAGGUGGAAUUCCGCGUGUAGCAGUGAAAUGCGUAGAUAUGCGGAGGAACACCGAUGGCGAAGGCAGCCUCCUGGGAUAACACUGACGCUCAUGCACGAAAGCGUGGGGAGCAAACAGGAUUAGAUACCCUGGUAGUCCACGCCCUAAACGAUGUCAACUAGCUGUUGGGGCCUUCGGGCCUUGGUAGCGCAGCUAACGCGUGAAGUUGGCCGCCUGGGGAGUACGGUCGCAAGAUUAAAACUCAAAUUAGAAUUG
rnacentral:rRNA from 1 species